rnacentral:misc_RNA from 1 species
GAUGAAGAACGUAGCGAAAUGCGAUAAGUAAUGUGAAUUGCAGAAUUCAGUGAAUCAUCGAAUCUUUGAACGCACAUUGCGCCCCUUGGUAUUCCGGGGGGCAUGCCUGUUCGAGCGUCAUUUCAACCCUCAAGCUCUGCUUGGUAUUGGGCUCCGUCCUCCUCGGACGCGCCUCAAAGACCUCGGCGGUGGCGUCUUGCCUCAAGCGUAGUAGAAACACCUCGCUUUGGAGUGCAUGGCGUCACCCGCCGGACGAAACCUUUUGUAUUUUCUCAAGGUUGACCUCGGAUCAGGUAGGGAUACCCGCUGAACUUAAGCAUAUCAAUAAGCGGAGGA